UCGACGUCGCAGACAACGUAUGCGCAUUAAGUAUAAUCAGUCCAGCAAUCACCGUCGGCUCCAACCGAUUCGACAACAGAUCGACAAUUAAUAUCCUCGAGGUCACGAAAACGACGCCGCCUGAAGUGUACAGCGACGCGCGCUGGUUCGACGGGAGCUCGGAAGUGAUCUCCGAGAUUGUCGGAGCCCGGGCUCCGAUAUUUUCGGCGAGAUUGUCGGGGGCGGGGGGAUUGGGGGUGUUGAGGAGGAUGGACUGUCUCUGGGAAGGGGAGGAGGCGAGGAUGAGGAGAGUGCCUUGGGAAGUGUGGUGGAGAGAGACGAGAUUUGAGAUGAGUUUGUGGAGAGAGAGGCCGCCGGAGAGAAUNAGUCGUUUGACAACCAAAGUAAAAAAUAUAACUUACUUAUAAGACCAAAAAUCAACUUUAUUUAUAAUUACAAUAAUUAGUAACUUUUAAAAUGGAAGUAACAAAUAUAGUUGAAUACAGCUAUUGUAAAUUUUAAGCAAAGCAGAACUCACUCACUCACAAGAAAGACUUUCCACUUUGGUGCCUCCUCUAGAACUUCCUCCAAAACUACUUGAAUAUUUGUACUUGCUGGUAAAGAAUCUGCAUGUGAAAAAGCAAGAACAAUAAGAAUUUACCUAAAUCACAGAAUAAAAGAUCUAGGUUUACACAGAACUUCACCUUCAUUGUCCUUGUUCUUAUCUUGCAGUUUUCUCUUUUUAGGUGUUUUGGUCUUACUCUGUCCAACUAUUUUCCCAUCCUCCAACCUCUUGCAAUAGUAAACUCGCUUCUUCGCAUACUCAAAAAUCUUAACACUUGACUCUGCAAAUAUCCAUACAGACCGGAAACUCUCGGAUGCUCUUAAGGAAUCCAAAUACUUCAAAUAGGUCACAGCAUCAUACCUGUUCAACUCUCAUGUCAAUCACAAACCGCAACAUAAAAAACACAAUAAUGAAGGCAACUAAGGGAGGUAUAUUCAAUUGGGAUUUUAUAAAUUGUAUCUGUUUUGAUUUUAUGCGGAGUCUAGUGAAUUCUAGAUAAAAUGUCGUAAAGUUUAUUUAGUAUCUUUAUGAUUUAGGCACAGUGCUUCAAAAUCUCUUAAAUUAUCGUGGAAUUUCAAAAAACAUAAAAUACACUGAACAAUGUCACAAAAUCCAUCAUAAACUACACUUAGAUUUCAUGAAUGAACAUCCCCCUUAAACUUGUUUCUUAUCAGUUCACUCUUAAUCAUAAUUGUCUGCAGGAAUAAUGCUACAAGUUAUGAAUCAUGCUGUACUUUUAUGUAUACUAAAAUGUAAAAACAUUUUAUACUAUUAAUUAAAAGGAUAUGAACUUUAAAGUUCAAGCCAAAUGUGCAUUACCUAACAAGAUAAUCCAACAAUUUCCUCAACGUCUUCAAAUCCGAAACAAGUUGCUUCGUCUUUUUCCCCAAAGUAUGCCAAAUCGGAUCCAACUGCCUCCUAAGAAUCUCAUCAAACGACUUACACAAUCCACUCUCUACCGUCAAAUCCUCCACAUCAACCUUAUUAGUCUUCCUCAUUUCCUUCAAACACGCAUCCAUAACCUCGAUCAAUGCCUUCUGAAUCUCCAUCAUGUAGUUAGUCAUCGGAACCCGAACAUCAACAACUUCCGGAGGCUCCUUCUCCAAAUCCUGCUUCACAUACACAUGAAACCUCGGCCACAAAUGCAAUUUCCUCAAGUACAAGCACUUCAGCGUCUUCUCGGCUUUCGAGAAACCCGAAACCAUCGCCUGAGCAUUAUCCGAAAACGCCCUAACAUACAAAUUCUUAUUCCCCGUCCUCAUAAUCCGAACAAUAAACGCCUCCGUCGACGUCGCAGACAACGUAUGCGCAUUAAGUAUAAUCAGUCCAGCAAUCACCGUCGGCUCCAACCGAUUCGACAACAGAUCGACAAUUAAUAUCCUCGAGGUCACGAAAACGACGCCGCCUGAAGUGUACAGCGACGCGCGCUGGUUCGACGGGAGCUCGGAAGUGAUCUCCGAGAUUGUCGGAGCCCGGGCUCCGAUAUUUUCGGCGAGAUUGUCGGGGG
rnacentral:lncRNA from 1 species